rnacentral:rRNA from 1 species
UACGUAGGAUGCAAGCGUUGUUCGGAAUUACUGGGCGUAAAGCGUGCGCAGGCGGUUUUGUAAGCCAGAUGUGAAAGCCCCGGGCUUAACCUGGGAAUGGCAUUUGGGACUGCAAGGCUCGAGUUUGGCAGAGGAGACUGGAAUUCCUGGUGUAGCAGUGAAAUGCGUAGAUAUCAGGAGGAAUACCGAUGGCGAAGGCAGGUCUCUGGGCUAUAACUGACGCUCAUGCACGAAAGCGUGGGGAGCAA